GCAGCUUCAAUCUAGCGGAAGGGGUGUACAGGCAAGGUACAUAGUUACCACGUUUUCACCUCGGGAAGGUCUGAGAUUCAGUCAAUAAACGUUCUAGCCGGACGGUAUCAUAAGGGUACGUACGGGAACCAGAAAUAGCUUUUUGUUGCCAAUUAGCCCAGGAAACUUCGCUCGAAGUAGAGGUACUUGGAAACGAAAAGAUGGAAACCCGUAUGAUUCGCUAUUUGAGUACAAUCCGCAAGCCAAAAGACGUAUACUUUGGAACUCAAUUCAGACUAAUCUGAAGCUGC
rnacentral:RNase_P_RNA from 13 species